ACCAAUCAGAGACAAUGUGAUCUGAUCGUUUGUGUUGGCCACCCUGACAAGUUGGCGUCUCUAAAAAUCCAAGAGGCAGUGAAGCAGCAGUCCUCAGAGGUGUGAAUAAAGGAGAAUGAGAAGGUGCAACAUCUGACCUUGUUGACCUCCCGAAGAGCAGCCUCAGCUUGGUGUCUUGUCAACUUUCCUCCAUACCAACUCGAAUCCAAGCCCUGAGCGCACCAUGAUAGAACAGUCAGUGUAAGUGUAGCGCUAUCACAGACAGUUCCAGUUAGACUAGUUAAUAAAAGGCAGUUUAUAAGAUAUAAGCAUCUCUGUUGUUCUUUUUCUUUGUACAGCAUUGUGAUCUGCUGUUUCCUUUCUGAAAGUGCUCAUGAUCUAUAAAUAAAACCUUAAUUGGA